rnacentral:rRNA from 1 species
GCAGUCGAGGGGCAGCGAGAGUGAUAGCAAUAUUACUUGUCGGCGACCGGCGCACGGGUGCGUAACGCGUAUGCAACCUACCAUCAACAGGGGGAUAACACUGAGAAAUUGGUACUAAUACCCCAUAAUAUCUCAUGCGGCAUCGCAUGGGGUUGAAAACUCCGGUGGUUGAUGAUGGGCAUGCGUUGUAUUAGCUGGUUGGUGAGGUAACGGCUCACCAAGGCGACGAUACAUAGGGGGACUGAGAGGUUAACCCCCCACAUUGGUACUGAGACACGGACCAAACUCCUACGGGAGGCAGCAGUGAGGAAUAUUGGUCAAUGGACGCAAGUCUGAACCAGCCAUGCCGCGUGCAGGAUGACGGCUCUAUGAGUUGUAAACUGCUUUUGUACGAGGGUAAACCCCGAUACGUGUAUCGGGUUGAAAGUAUCGUACGAAUAAGGAUCGGCUAACUCCGUGCCAGCAGCCGCGGUAAUACGGAGGAUCCGAGCGUUAUCCGGAUUUAUUGGGUUUAAAGGGUGCGUAGGCGGUUUGAUAAGUUAGAGGUGAAAUGUCGGGGCUCAACCCCGAAACUGCCUCUAAUACUGUUGGACUAGAGAAUAGUUGCGGUAGGCGGAAUGUAUGGUGUAGCGGUGAAAUGCUUAGAGAUCAUACAGAACACCGAUUGCGAAGGCAGCUUACCAAACUAUAUCUGACGUUGAGGCACGAAAGCGUGGGUAGCAAACAGGAUUAGAUACCCUGGUAGUCCACGCAGUAAACGAUGAUAACUCGUUGUCGGCGAUACACAGUCGGUGACUAAGCGAAAGCGAUAAGUUAUCCACCUGGGGAGUACGUUCGCAAGAAUGAAACUCAAA